GGGGGCGUACUGGUUUCGACUCAUUGUUGGAAGCGCAGACGGCAUGUCGAGGAUGGUUCGUUGGCCUCGUAAAAAACCGAGCCAAAACAAAUAAACGCAGAUCACCAAGAUCUCGCUCUCGCGGCUUAAUUGACCGUGACGUUUGGAGCUGGACGCCUGCUACGGCGCCAAACGUGGACAGCAGGCUAAUCG
rnacentral:tmRNA from 1 species